AUUGAACGCUGGCGGCAUGCCUAACACAUGCAAGUCGAACGGGGCAGCAAUGCCUAGUGGCGGACGGGUGAGGAAUACGUAGGAAUCUGCCCUUAAGUGGGGGAUAACCAGGGGAAACCCUGACUAAUACCGCAUGAUCUCUUCGGAGCAAAGAGGGGGACCGCAAGGCCUCUCGCUUCUGGAUGAGCCUACGUCUGAUUAGCUAGUUGGUAGGGUAAAGGCCUACCAAGGCGACGAUCAGUAACUGGUCUGAGAGGAUGAUCAGUCACACCGGAACUGAGACACGGUCCGGACUCCUACGGGAGGCAGCAGUGGGGAAUAUUGGACAAUGGGCGCAAGCCUGAUCCAGCAAUGCCGCGUGUGUGAAGAAGGUCUUCGGAUUGUAAAGCACUUUAAGUUGGGAGGAAGGGCAGUAAGUUAAUACCUUGCUGUUUUGACGUUACCGACAGAAUAAGCACCGGCUAACUUCGUGCCAGCAGCCGCCGUAAGAC
rnacentral:rRNA from 1 species